AGUUAAAUCUCAGCUCCAUUGCAUUGGCAAAACCUGCCUUCGCCUCCACGAAAAUCAAAAAUAUUAUACUGGUUGUUUUUUAAAUUAUUUGAACAGGUUAAAGUGGACUGUAGUAGGAAUGUGCGUAUGAAUUUUGGUCGUAGUUUUCGGAAGUUAUCAACUCCAAAGUUGUAACUACUGCAUAGGCAGACGGACAGACAGAUGCGGCAGUUUGCUUCAAAGGCCGUUGGUGCAUAUUUUUGUAGGCCAAGUGUGAUAUAAAUACAAGUUUGCUGGUGCUAUCAGUUUCUAAUAUUGUUACCAUGCAUGCUUGACUGCUCCCCGUUUAUAGUGCACUAUAUAAAAAAAAACAUUUUUAAAACAAUUUACAUGUUUAUAGCUGGAGGAACCAAAGUAAAAGAUGGAAUGACUCACUGCUUGUGUUCCCUUUUUUCCAUUAUCAUCAAAGAGGUACGCUCAACCACCUAUCAUUAGUUUUAUGCAUCCAAAUGCGUAUUUAAUCUACAUUUUCACCAAGGUUUAUUCAUUUUUUUGUGUUUCUUUUUUCUGUCUAUGCACUUGAGUGCUGAGUGCUGAUGAAACACUGUACGACCGAUGACUUGCUCUUCUCCCAGACCUGCAAAAUUGAAAAGACUGCACCUACAGCUUCACAGCGUGGUUCAGAUUUAAGUGCGUGCCAAGAAGACAGAUGUGUGGCAAGCAGCGUGUGGCAAGCAGCCCUGACACUGAAACAGUACUAUACAUGUACUAAACUAUACAUGUCAAUGUCAUGUUAUAUGACGGUCUGACAGCAACCGUGCCGACAGGCAAGCAAAAGAAAUGAGAAACCCUGUGGUUAGAGGAUAAAAUGAAAAUAAAAUGGUUGUAGGGUUUUCUUCAUGUCAAAAGUGUAUGUCGGUGUCACUCUGAGAGCAGAUAAAACAGUUUGACUAAUUGUCAUUCUUUUGCUCCUUAAAUGUCUAUUUAUUCAAUGUCAAAUCAAAUUCCACACGUGGCUGCGAUGUUUAGUGAUUUCAUAACUAAUAACGUCCGCAGUUUUUUUGCUAGAUUACUUUUCCUCUUCAGGGUCGCUGGUUAACCGGAGCCUAUCACUGCUGACUUUGGCCAAGAGGCAGUGUACACUUUGGUCUUAUUUGAUAUUCAACCCACGGUAACUACUUUUCCACCAAAGUUAUUGAUGAAAUUGCAGAACCAUUUACUCACAUAUGCAAUAUGUCUUUUACAUCUGGUAAAUUUCCAAAUGAUAUGAAAAAUAGCUAAAGUUAUACCUCUAUAUAAAUGUGGGGAUAGACACCAUUACACGAAUUACAGGCCAGUAUCUCUACUCUGUCAGUUCUCCAAAAUCCUUGAAAAACUGUUCACAGAAAAACUACACAACUUCAUUGAAAAAAAACAAGCUUUUAGCUGACAGUCAAUAUGGAUUCCGGAAGGACAGAUCAACAACGAUGGCACUCAUGGAUCUUAUAGAGAACAUCAC